CCUACGGGAGGCUGCAGUGAGGAAUAUUGGUCAAUGGACGAGAGUCUGAACCAGCCAAGUAGCGUGAAGGAUGACUGCCCUAUGGGUUGUAAACUUCUUUUAUAUGGGAAUAAAACGUUCCACGUGUGGGAUUUUGUAUGUACCAUAUGAAUAAGGAUAGGCUAACUCCGUGCCAGCAGCCGCGGUAAUACGGAGGAUCCGAGCGUUAUCCGGAUUUAUUGGGUUUAAAGGGAGCGUAGGUGGAUUGUUAAGUCAGUUGUGAAAGUUUGCGGCUCAACCGUAAAAUUGCAGUUGAAACUGGCAGUCUUGAGUACAGUAGAGGUGGGCGGAAUUCGUGGUGUAGCGGUGAAAUGCUUAGAUAUCACGAAGAACUCCGAUUGCGAAGGCAGUUCACUGGACUGCAACUGACACUGAGGCUCGAAAGUGUGGGUAUCAAACAGGAUUAGAUACCCUGGUAGUC
rnacentral:rRNA from 1 species